CCCGAGCUGUACAUGCGCACUGGCAUCGUUUUUUUUCACCUCCAGCACAAAAGAAUGAAGUGUUCCAGUUGUGGUUUGGGACCUUUGUGUGCUUCCACGACGUCCGCACUCCGCCCUGAGUGUCUCCAACCGGUUGCCGUGUCCCAGUGAAACGCCGCCAAUACCGCUUUCUGUGAACAAGGCAGGCGCCGAGUACGCGCUAGCGCAGGCGACUCCGUCCUUUCUGACAUACAGGUGGGCGUUCCUUUCCGGAAGAGAACUGGACUCGCUGCCAAUGGGCACAGUCCCCAGUGCUUUUCUCGUCUUGCCUACAUUUGUCGCGCUGAGGAGACAGCGCCUCGAGAAAGUGUCGGCAGAACUUCCACGGCCCGCAGGCCCCCACGUGAUUGGUUUUUCAUGCUAACCGCCGUCGAUCAAGCGCAGUAUAACGGUAGCGCGACAACCGAGUUUUUGCCCCGGCUGUUUGACUUGAAGUGGCGGGCCGCAUUUUCCGUUCAAAGCAACGCGGAAGUUGGGGAGACACAGAAUACCAGGCGCAGGGGCACACGGGUUUUUUUUCGGACACCUGCGGCCACCGCAGCAAUUUUUCCACCUGGAGUGCUACGCCGCUUGCAACAUCGCGAGGCAUUAAAAGUAGCGCAAGAACGUUCUAAAAGGUUCAUCCGACGACAGAUCCACGGUCUCUCUCUAUCUCUAUCGCGCCCGGUAUGAAUGCCGAGGAGCGUCCCUCGCCACGUAACGGGAAGAAAGUGACGCGGCCCCCUGGCAUGACCAACUAACGCA
rnacentral:lncRNA from 1 species